rnacentral:lncRNA from 1 species
GUCAAUUGCAAAAGACUUAUAUUGAAUCAAAACAUACGGAUACAACGUGAACAUAGCUUUGUAUACGUGUGUUUUGAUCCUAUUAACGAUGCAUUCAACAUUUUGUUUUUAAUCCUGAAAAAUUCCCCUAUUAUGUGCCAUCUAUAAGUGGUAAACAGUGCUACUAAGAGCGAUCUUCUUUACUUUGCUAUGCCAUGUCGUUCCUCGAGUUUCUUUCUUAAUCCACUUCAAGAUAAGAUAAAACUUGCAAAUCCUAAAUAUAAUCUCGCUUAGUAUAAGUUCAAGAAUAACGAAAUUCAUUUAAUUAUGAAUCUAUUCGUGCAAUAAAAAUGAACACACAUUUUUUACAAUAAGGUCCAAAACUAUUAUCAUCAAUAAAAAGAAAAGCAUCACUUGCCAUCAACUAUUGGGGAAUUGUGGUACUCGAUCAUGAUUUGAUUUAAAUAAAAAAAUUUGAUAUAAAUUUAAGUUAAAAUUAUAAUUAUUAGUUGCAUCAACUUUUAUUAAAAUUUACUAAAAAUUUAACUUUUAACAAAAUCAAAUAUGGGUUUAAUUAUUAAUUUGAUAAGCAAACAAAAGUAGAAAUUAUGAUUGAAGGAAGUUCUCACUGGAUAUAGCCUAAUGGUGCAAAAGACAAGAGUGAGAUUAUCCCACGCUUUGUUGACGGUCGCAGUGUGGAGGUUCGAUUCCUGAAACAUAGAAUUAAACUCCUUAUAGGUGCGAUGUAUAUGUAGUUCUUAUUCCUUGAUCUACUGGAACACAUCCUACAAUUUACCUUCCUCAAAAAGUUCUAGAAUUGGGGCGGUUGAAACCCGGCCUCAACCUUUAUAAUUGAAGGAAGCGUGGAACGAUCGCAGAGAUGUAGCAGAGAAUCUUUGGU